ensembl:lncRNA
CCUAUUUCUUUGUAUGCCACAUCUGCCUAUUUGCCUAAUCCUGCACUACCGAUUCAACUACGAUUUGGGGACUGGUUUUACCUGAAAAGCAACUAACUCAACUUUCAAAGACUUCCUGGAUCUGAUGACAAUGACACUGCAUUUCAAUUUAGAAUCCUUUCUGCCAUAUCUCUAAGCAUUUUCUAACUAAAGAACCAAUCUCUCUUAAAUAAUAUCUUCCGUUGCCUCCCACCCACAAUUCUUUCCCUUCUGAGCCCCUGUGGAGGGGGAUGGUGUCCUGCAAAGCCUAACUGCCCACACUGCUAUCUGAGCAUCUGUCCACCCCCGUAGUGGUCAUUCAACCUGUGCGGCUGCUACUGUUGCCAGUGUAACACAUGAUGUUGCCUGGGAAGCAAUGCUGGGAGCCCUCUUGUAGUGGCUGGAACAAUAUUCCCAACAUAUGUUCCCACGGCCAGAACAAUGCUGAGGCUCCUUCCAAUUCUUCUUCUCCCUCCGCGGGUUUGGUGAUUGCUCUUUGUGGGGCCUGAGUCACAGAUGGAGACAGUGUUCUCUGCCCUCACCGCCAGGAUGCCUAAGGCAUCUGCAUAUGGUGAAUCCUCCAGCCAGGAUAUUUACAAAAGCCAAAGAGAGGCAUUUUUCUCCUUCAGAACUGACAAUGGUAAGAUGUUGUGCUAAUACAUUCCAUAGGAUUUCUGGAUGCUGGACUAUUACAUUCAGGUUACAAUUUGGGGACGGAUUUGUUAUUUCUAUUGCAAAUGGACUACACUAUAAACACAAAAAGAUUCCUGCCACAGCAUCCAAAUACCCCUAAUACAGAAAGAGAAUCACUCAGAAAGGACAAAGCUGGCAGACUGAGAAAGGAGGCAAGAGUAAACUCUGGCACUGGCCAAUUAUCUAAAACAAGAAUAGCAGCCUCUGUUAUCAAAGUUGCCAGUUAAAAUUGUCAGCUGUCAGGCACAGUGACACACACCUGUAAUCCCAACAUUUUGGGAGGCCAAGGUGGGUGGAUCGCUUGAGCCCAGGAGUUUGAGACAAGCCUGGGCAACACACAGAAACUCCAUCUCUACAAAAAGUACAAAACUUAGCCAGGUGUGGUGGUGUGCGCCUGUAGUCCCAGCUGCUCAGGAGGGUAAGGUGGGAGGAACGCUUGAGGCCAGGAGGUAGGGGUUCUGUGAACCAUGAUCAUGCCACUGCACUCCAGCCUGGGUGAGAAAGGGAGACCCUGUCCAAAAAAACAAAAAGUUGCUAGCUCUCUUCUCUAUAAAGAGUCUCUAGAUUGGUUUGCAUCAUGCCCUUUGAUGCACCAGAUAUGUUUAACCAACCUAGUUUUGUUGAUUCUGACAAUCUCACACAUUUAAGAAUUUACCAUUUUUCAGGCACUUUUCAACGUUAAAAAAAAUUAAAUCCAGUUAUUGAAAAUCAGUUUGACAAACAACCCCCACUCCAUAGCCCUGGCCGAAAAAAAAUAAGCAGCUAAUUCGGUGAUACGAUCUCUGUAAGGCGGCAAAUUCCUUCAAUUUUCCAAGGAAAUAGCAUAUAUAUUUUCUUCCAUCUUAACUCCAAAUUUGGGACCUCUUCCUCUGGUAACACAGUAUUUUAGGUUACUUGAAAUCAGCCCCCAUUUAAAAGACUCUUUGUGGCACCAAGCUUAAAGCAUUUACUGACAGAGGACAUCGCCACUAUUAACAUUCUUGUUACAAAAAUUCAGUUUCAGUUGAGUUCCUGUAAUCCCCUGAGCACUUAUAAAUGCCUUUUACCUAUAAUGAGGCAGUAGGCUAUGUGUAAAACAAAGCAAAUGAACUGUUCAAAUAUAUGUAAAUCUGUAAUUAUACUAACAUGAACUACACUGAUAGAAGACAGUGUUUUUUCUCUGAAGUGUUUAGAGUUUCAAAAGAAAAGGACACAAUAUUAAGAAAUUUCUACUAGAUGAUUAAAAAUGAUUUUGGUUGGUUGCCAUUCCCAGGUUUUCCCAGAGUUCUCAUCUAUGUCCUAUACAAUGUGUAAAUUAAAAUGUACAUGACCAAUUGAUGUACUACAAUACAUCAGAUAUCAAUAUAUACACGUGAAUUAAAGUUCCUUAAAUAUACACAUCCCCACUUAGGAUAUAUCCUAUUACAUAGGCAAAGCAUCAUCCUUUAAUAAUAGGUCCAAGAUAGCAGCAAUUUGAUAUUCUAUUACCCAGUUACCUCAGAAAAUAUCAUAGAUCCUGAAUAUUUCCUGAUAAGGUAUCCCUGGCUUCAAAAACUCUACAGUAACAUUUAGCAUAGGUCUCAUGAAGCACCAGGCUACACUGUCAAUAGCAAUUAUAUAAUCCUGUCAUUGGAGAAAAGGUUUUAUCCUUUCAAAACCUCGUUAUUCAAAUCUGACUAAUGGUAUAAUGGAAAAAAUAAGUCCCAAUGAGGUGAUAUAUAAAUUUAAACUAAAAUAUAUAAAGCAUUUCUAUUUUAUUUCUUACAUGUUUUUGUUGCUAUUUUAUCAGUGCCUUGUAACAAAGUAUUCAGACUGUCCUAACAGAUGCUGAAACAGCAAUAAUAAAUUAUGCUGAGAAAAGAGCUGCUCUGUGUUU